rnacentral:rRNA from 1 species
AUUAAAGGGCCGCGGUAUUUUAACCGUGCAAAGGUAGCAUAAUCAUUAGGUUUUUAAUUAGAAUCUUGUAUGAAUGGUUCGACAAAAGAAAUACUGUCUUUAUAUUAAAUUUUGAAUUUAACUUUUAAGUGAAAAGGCUUAAAUAAAUUAAAGGGACGAUAAGACCCUAUAAAACUUUACAUUGAAAUUUUAUUUAAUUGAAUUUAUAAAUAAAGAUUUGAUUUAAUUAUAUGUUAUGUUGGGGAGACAAAGGUAAAAUAAAUUUUAACUGCUUUAUGUAAAAACAUAUAUUUAUGGAUGUUAAAUGAUCCUUUAUAAAGAUUUAAAGAUUAAGUUACUUUAGGGAUAACAGCGUUAUUUUUUUUGAGAGUUCAUAUCGAAAAGAGAGUUUGCGACCUCGAUGUUGAAUUAAAAUAUCUUUAUAGUGCAGAAGCUAUAAAAGAAGGUCUGUUCGACCUUUAAAUUUUUACAUGAUUUGAGUUCA